GGGGUCAGACAAUCCCUUCCAUUUGGCUCGGGCCGCGCAUUGGCUCCACGGGCCCGCCUCACAUGACCGCGCCCCGUAGCGGGUGGAAGCUGGCUGGUAUGGGGAUCUGAACCCUUGACCUUGGUGUUAUCAGCACCACGCUCUCCCAGGUGCCAUGGCCCCUAAAGCUGCUCUCAACAGAGACUGACGGGCAGGGAUGUAUAAAUGCCCCCGGUCCCUCACUGUCAGGUGGUAUGAUUCCGAGGAGUGUGUUCACACCAUGGCCUCCCUGUGCCGACCCUGUGUUUGCAUGGCCCUGAGAGCAAGUGCCUCCUUAAACGGCUGGAGUACUGGUGGCAUCAGGACUGACUGCUAGAGAUCCUGUAAAGCAACGUUCAUCUGGCAGGAAAAGAUGUGAAGGAGUAGAGAGGGCUACAGGCAUUAGGCUGAUACACAGGCCAGACCCAUAAGGUCCUGUUUGGGGAAAUUAAGGCAGAAAGAGCCCAAAAUCCUGGAGGUCAUGUGUGAGGGAGCAGAAUGGCUCUCUAUCACACACCUUGGUUUUAACUCAAUAGAAGAACUUUUUCACCCUCAAAAUGUGUAGAAAACCAAACAGAGAUCACUGUGAAUAGUGAUCUCCAAAUAAAGCUAGGGUGCACAUGACGCUCCUUUGGGGUACAGGAAGCAAACAGGCCUUGUGUUCCCAACAUACUUGAAGUGUCUUCACGAAAGAGCAGGGAUUUCUUAACAGGAAGGGUUGACAAAGACAGCCUCACUUCUUGGUGGGCUUUCAGAAUUAUUGUGAUGUGUAGCAGGUUAAGUGUACCCAGUGAGGAUAUUAUCUUGAUUUAAUUAAGUAGUCCUAACAAAAUGGAUAAGUGGCUUGCUGUGCUUUGAAUGCUUGUCCCCUCCAAAGCUCAUGUUGGAACUUAAUCCCCAAUGUGGUAUUUAAGAGGUGGAACCUGUAAGAGUUGAUGUGAUUGUGAGAACUACGCCCUCAAAAAUGGGUUAAUCCAUUCAUGGAUUAAUGGGUUAAUGAAUAAGUUGGUUAUCAGAAGCAUGUAGUGCAUUCCUGUUCAGCCCUUGCCAUGUGAUAUCCUGUGUCACCUUGGGGCUCUGCAGAGUCCCCCCCAAGAAGAACGCCCUCACCAUAUGUGCUUCCUUGACGUUGAACUUCCCAGCCUCCAAAA